AUUGAACGCUGGCGGCAGGCCUAACACAUGCAAGUCGAACGAGUGGCGGACGGGUGAGUAAUGUCUGGGAAACUGCCUGAUGGAGGGGUAUAACUACUGGAAACGGUAGCUAAUACCGCAUACCAUCAGAUGUGCCCAGGGGGGAUGAGCUAGUUGGGGGGGUAACGGCUCACAAGGGCGACGAUCCCUAGCUGGCCUGAGAGGAGGACCAGCCAAACUGGAACUGAGACACGGUCCAGACUCCUACGGGAGGCAGCAGGGGGGAAUAUUGCACAAUGGGCGAAAGCCUGAUGCGGCCAUGCCGCGUGUAUGAAGAAGGCCUUCGGGUUGUAAAGUACUUUCAGCGGGGAGGCGUUACCCGCAGAAGAAGCACCGGCUAACUCCGUGCCAGCAGCCGCGGUAAUUC
rnacentral:rRNA from 1 species